rnacentral:rRNA from 1 species
UCGCUCCUACCGAUCGAAUGAUCCGGUGAAAUUUUCGGACCAUCGCUGCGCAAGGGUUCGCCCAAGUGCGGUAGUGGGAAGUUACUUAAACCUUAUCAUUUAGAGGAAGGAG